GUAUAAGUAUUUGCCAAAAUACAGACUAGCAUUAACUUAUGAGUGGUUGAGAGCUGGUUGUUGAGAAUAUAGGAUUCAUAUCCUCCUGGAAGUGAUGUUAUAAUUGGUGGCUGUGUUCUGGGUCAGGCUUCAGGACUCCAUUCUCUGAGCUUCCACUGGUGCUGGCCUGAUUCUGGGUCCUGGAACAAGGAAUGCAGGAAUGAAAGUGUUAGAGACAGGAAAAAACUGAAUGGGGUUUUUCCCACACUAACUCAGUCACUCAAUACUUUCAACACGAGACGCAGAGUAGGGGUGGGGGUUCCCACACAUCAGCCAAGCAAUUCUGCAGAUUCUGCAGCAGACACCAGUGGGAUGUCCACUAAUACAAUUCAAUCUGACACUAUCUGCAUGGAGAUAGUGAGACGGGUGAGUUGCCUGACCACUCCCCCCGGCCCCCCUCACCCCGCAAGAUGUGCGACAGGGGUAUGGCUCGUCUGUUCCCACCGCCAAGUGCUCAAACCCCUUAUGAGAGGGGUAGCAUGCAGACAAGCAGGUGCAGGAGCUGGGGCAAGUGCUUUUGGGCUCCAGCCCCACAGUAGCAUCUGGGGGUGAGGGCCUGCAACUCCCAAAGCCCUAGUGGGCAUGCUACAGUGCUCUUUUAGUUCUGCCAUCCACAGACAGCUUAAGUGUUAACCAACUCAGUGCCCUCUUGGUAGCUGGGUUCUUGUCCCGCAUCCAGGAAGAAUCCGGUCACAUGGACAAAUUGAAGGAUGGUAAAUGCAGGGGAUUUUAGUGAGUAGUGGAGGUGGUUCUCAGUGGGAUGGAUGGGGAGCUGGAAAGAGGAUGGAGGAGCAAGAUGAUCUUCCCCUGGAAUCUGGCCAUUCUGUGGCUGAUCUCCUCUCCAACUGUCCCCAGCCAAACUCCUCUUGAUGUUCAGGCAUUCCUUCUCUUCUCUCCUUCUCUGCUAUGCCACUCUUUUGCUCCUCUGCUCUUCUGUUCAUCUGCUCAUCUGUUUGUGGAGCCUGGGGUUUGGCAGGCCAAAAGGCAACAUUUCAGUGCAAAAAAGAGGAAUGCCUGCUUCCAUUUAGGGCCAUGGGUUUCCAGGCUUGAGGGUGGGGCCUUUGUCGGGUAAUUGCCCUCUUCCACUCAGUGUUUCUGUCUCCUGUCAGUACCAAUAGUGUCAGAUCCCAAAGGCUGAGUGUGCAGUCCCACAAGACUGCCCUUGCUUCAGAUGCCUGUCGCCGCUGUCCAACUUACUAGAAAUCAGGGUUACACAGCUUCCUACUUGAGUUUGGUACUUGUUACUUAUAGCUUCUCACAGAAUGCAGAAAUACUUAUGGUGACUGGUUUAUUGUAAGUACAUUAGGAAGGAUACAGAUGAAGAGAAGCAUAGGGUGAGAUAUAUGGGAAGAGACAAGGAACUUCCAUCCCCUCCCCAGAUGCAUCACCCUCCAGAAACCUCCAUGUGGUCAGCUAUCCAGAAGCUCUCAAGCCCAGCCCUUUUUGGGUUUUUAUGGAAGCUUCAUUACGUAAGCAUGAUUGAUUACAUCCUUAAUCAUUGGUAAUCAACUUAACUUUCAGUCCUGGCCUCCCACAGAAUUGGAGGGACUAAAAAUCUCAGUCCUCUAAUCAUGCCUAUGCAGCUCUCACCCUGAAGCUACCUAGGGGCCCCCAGCCACCGGUCUUCUUAUUAGUAUACAAAAGAUGCCUGUCGCUCUGGCAAUUCCAAGGGUUUUAGGAGCUGUAUGUAAGGAGAAGGGGACCAAAUGUAUAUUUGACAAUAUUGCAGAGAGAAAGAGUUUUCUCUCUUUCCAGUACAUGGAGUUCAUUCAAGAUAACAUUAAAAAAAAAUACACCCUAUGCUUUAUUAAACAAUUUAUCUGACAACCCUAAAAGACUCCUUUUGUUUCCAAUGUUUUUGUAGGGUGUUUAGGGGAGAGGAGAGCAUUAUAGGCUUUAUUUUUUAAGAGUAGUUUUAGGUUCACAGCAAACUUCAGCAAAAAGUUCAGAGUUCCCAAAUACCUCAUAGCUCCACACAGGCACAACCUCCCUCUCCUAUCAACAUCCCAGCCCAGAGUGGUACCUUUGUUACAACCCGCAUUUCUUAGGCUCCUACUGACACAUCAUUAUCACCCAAAGUCUGCAAUUUAAUUAGGGUUCAGUCUUGGUGUUGCACAUUCUACGGGUUUUGACAAAUGUUUAAUGAAAGGUAUUCCUCAUUAUAGUAUCAUAAGAAUAGUUUUACUGCCCUAAAAAUCCUCUGUGCUCUGCCUAUUCAUUUCUUCCCCUCUCUAGACAUAACACUUUGAAGUAAAAAUUUGCCUUUCUCAUUCUUCUCCCACACCUACAAGCCUCCUAAUUCCUGGUAUUCCCCUAGGUCUGAGCCCCACUCCCAGCCACCUACCCAGCCUUCAGAUGGACCUGAUUCAUAUAAAUGUGUGAAUGACUAACAGCCCUCAAAAUGCAGUUGAGGUAUUCCCGUUUUGAAAAAGGGUGCUGAUUGGCACCCCUGUCUCUCGAAUAGGUGGGCCCUCUGAAAGUACCAGAAAGGGCUGUGAAGAGGCCACCACUACCAGAAACAUCCCCACAAGGUUAUCUUCUGCUUUUCCUUUCUCCUUUCAUUCCCCUCAGAGUAUAGAGAUUAUUUCAAAAUUACAAAAUUUGUUCUCUGCAAAUGGUUCCCCUGGCAGCAAUGCCUUGGCCAGAAUGUAUGUGGGUGGGUGAGUGGGGCAGGUGUAUUUGCAAUUUAGAGUUUUCAUAUGUGUUCGUUAGAGCCUCAGAGAGAAAGAGAAAUUUUAGUUCCCACUUUGCAGGUGCCUAGUUUGUGUCUACCAAGGGGCUGAUUUCAUCUUCUUUGUGGAUACAAUAUUAGCAUAUCUCAUGGACAAAAAAACCCUCACAGCCUUUCUAGAAUAUCCAAUAAACACUCUCCACGUUAUCUAAAAAGCGGGUGUAAAAUAACUUUUCAUAACAAAACGAAUCAUCUGAUAACACAAGAAAAGGGUUAGUGAGAGUCUUUGCUGAAAUUCCAACUGCCUUUUCUUGCUGCCGUCCCCCAUCUUUGCAGAGAUAAAGAUUAUGGUUGCCACGGAAACAGGACCAGAGAGAGAAAGACAGAAACUUUGUCUCAUUUGGUUUCCCCAGGACUCACAAAGAGAUCUGGGCUGUAAGUAGAGCUGGACAAGAUUAUGGUAGAUUUAUAAUUUACUUAGUCAAAUUGCUUUUAAUUCAUCGUCAUGCCUCAAUGUACAUUUUUUUCCCUCUGAAAGUUAGGUCUUGCACCUAGUUGUCCAAUGUCUGACAUGUAACAGAGCCUUAAAAUUCAUUGUCUACGAUUAAAUUCAAAUUCAGGACAGAUGGCUUAGUCUGAGUAUGUGUCAGACAGGCAAAGCACUUAAGAUUUGUGACAGGCAAGACCAGGAAUUAACUGCUAAGUUUUUGCAUUUAUUUGUACAUUCAUGUGCACCAUGAAUAUGGCUAUAAAACUUAUUUAAGUGUUCUCACUUUAUUCAAAAUAUUCCCAAACAAAGCGACUGUUCUCCUUUUGCAAACCAGACACCCUAAUCUCAAGCCCAUUAACUCAAAAUCCAUUUUUCUCAUGCUACACGCAUGUGUACAUUUCAUUUACUCAGUCAGGAGGAGAACAGCAACCUUCUGAAAACCCAGCUUGCCUAGAACCCAGAAUGUUGGUCCCCACUUCAUUUGUGUGAGCCUUUUUAUUGAAACAUUUAAUUAUUUUAUUGAGCAAACAUUUGUCUGUGGAAAUAAACAAUGACCAGCCAAAUGUGAACAAGCAAAGACUGUUUAUUCAGAGCUUGCUAUAUAGCAAGGGAGUCAGCCACUGUCAC
ensembl:lncRNA